rnacentral:rRNA from 1 species
UACGAAGGGGGCUAGCGUUGUUCGGAUUUACUGGGCGUAAAGCGCACGUAGGCGGAUCGUUAAGUCGGGGGUGAAAUCCUGGAGCUCAACUCCAGAACUGCCUUCGAUACUGGCGAUCUUGAGUCCGGAAGAGGAGAGUGGAAUUCCUGGUGUAGCGGUGAAAUGCGCAGAUAUCAGGAAGAACACCUAUGGCGAAGGCAGCUCUCUGGGACGGUACUGACGCUGAGACGCGAAAGCGUGGGGAGCGAACAGG